UGGCUCAGUGGUUAAGCGCUUGGCUGCUAACUAAAGGUCGGUGGUUAGAACCCACC
rnacentral:tRNA from 1 species